AACGAACGCUGGCGGCAUGCCUAACACAUGCAAGUCGAACGAGACCUUCGGGUCUAGUGGCGCACGGGUGCGUAACGCGUGGGAACCUGCCCUUAGGUUCGGAAUAACUCCCCGAAGGGGGUGCUAAUACCGGAUAAUUUCUUCGGACCAAAGAUUUAUCGCCUUUGGAUGGGCCCGGGUUGGAUUAGCUAGUUGGUAGGGUAAAAGCCUAUCACGGCGACGAUCCAUAGCUGGUCUGAGAGGAUGAGCAGCCACACUGGGACUGAGACACGGCCCAGACUCCUACGGGAGGCAGCAGAGGGGAAUAUUGGACAAUGGGCGAAAGCCUGAUCCAGCAAGGCCGGGAGAGUGAUGAAGGCGUUAGGGUUGUAAAGCUCGUUUACCCGGGAUGAUAAUGACAGUACCGGGAGAAUAAGCACCGGCUAACUCCGUG
rnacentral:rRNA from 1 species